rnacentral:rRNA from 1 species
UGGGGAAUAUUGCACAAUGGGCGCAAGCCUGAUGCAGCCAUGCCGCGUGUAUGAAGAAGGCCUUCGGGUUGUAAAGUACUUUCAGCGGGGAGGAAGGGAGUAAAGUUAAUACCUUUGCUCAUUGACGUUACCCGCAGAAGAAGCACCGGCUAACUCCGUGCCAGCAGCCGCGGUAAUACGGAGGGUGCAAGCGUUAAUCGGAAUUACUGGGCGUAAAGCGCACGCAGGCGGUUUGUUAAGUCAGAUGUGAAAUCCUCGGGCUCAACCUGGGAACUGAAUCUGAUACUGGCAAGCUUGAGUCUCGUAGAGGGGGGUAGAAUUCCAGGUGUAGCGGUGAAAUGCGUAGAGAUCUGGAGGAAUACCGGUGGCGAAGGCGGCCCCCUGGACGAUGACUGACGCUCAGGUGCGAAAGCGUGGGGAGCAAACAGG